AGAUAGUCCGAAGCAGUACACCACACCUACCGUGCGUUGUCAGUUCCCAGAAAUCCAGCAACUGAGGCGACGCUGGCGCAGGUGAUGGUGACUGGCUGUACAGCAAAGCAGUAACUGGUCAGAACCAGUUGGAUUCCUCAGAGUGACUGACUGAAAGAGGAGCAACAGCGUGGAACACUGCCCAGGUUUCAGUGUCACAGCCUGCUCCAGCUGUGACAGAAAGAUGACUGUUGGAUGAUGGAACAUGCACCACAAACUGUGCUUGCCUUACUGGAUGGGAACGUUGGAACUCAUAAUGUGUACAAAUGGAGAAACUCCAGAGCAGCCAAGAGGAACAGUAGAGCAACAUCACAGACCAGAGCGUCAGCAGGAUACGACAGC